rnacentral:rRNA from 1 species
AACUGCCUGAUGGAGGGGGAUAACUACUGGAAACGGUAGCUAAUACCGCAUAACGUCGCAAGACCAAAGAGGGGGACCUUCGGGCCUCUUGCCAUCAGAUGUGCCCGGAUGGGAUUAGCUAGUAGGUGGGGUAAUGGCUCACCUAGGCGACGAUCCCUAGCUGGUCUGAGAGGAUGACCAGCCACACUGGAACUGAGACACGGUCCAGACUCCUACGGGAGGCAGCAGUGGGGAAUAUUGCACAAUGGGCGCAAGCCUGAUGCAGCCAUGCCGCGUGUGUGAAGAAGGCCUUCGGGUUGUAAAGCACUUUCAGCGAGGAGGAAGGUGGUGAGCUUAAUACGCUCAUCAAUUGACGUUACUCGCAGAAGAAGCACCGGCUAACUCCGUGCCAGCAGCCGCGGUAAUACGGAGGGUGCAAGCGUUAAUCGGAAUUACUGGGCGUAAAGCGCACGCAGGCGGUUUGUUAAGUCAGAUGUGAAAUCCCCGGGCUCAACCUGGGAACUGCAUUUGAAACUGGCAAGCUAGAGUCUCGUAGAGGGGGGUAGAAUUCCAGGUGUAGCGGUGAAAUGCGUAGAGAUCUGGAGGAAUACCGGUGGCGAA